rnacentral:lncRNA from 1 species
AGGUUGGUUGUGAUUCUGAUUAUGGUUAUAGUACUAUACUAUGUUGGUGAGAUGAAAUAGAACAGUUAAAUUUUACUAUUUUUGUAUUUUAAUUUAUUAAAGAUAUUUUAUAUUUGGGUUUGGGUUUAUGAAUUCGGGUUUAGGGUUUAGUAUUUAUGGCUUUAAGGUGGAUUAGUUUAGGGUUUAGUAUUUCAGUGUUGGAGGUUGGUUGUGAUUCUGAUGGUUUUAGUAUUAUACUAUGCUGGUGAGAUGAAAUAGAAUAGUUAAUUAUAUAAUAUUUUGUAUUUUAAUUUAUAAAAGAUAUUUUACAUUGGGUUUGGGUUUAUGAAUUCGGGUUUAGGGGUUAGUAUUUAUGAUUUAGAGGUGGGUUGGUUUAGGGUCUAGUAUUUCAGGGUUAGAGGUUGGUUGGGGUUAGAGGUUGGUUAUGAUUCUAAUUGUGUUUAUAGUACUCUACUAUGUUGGUGAGAUGAAAUAGAACAUUUUCUUUUCCAUCAUGUGUGUUGCAUACAGCUGUCAUAUAUGCUUCAUAUAAUUAAGUGUCCCUAAAAAGACCACGUCUCUUAUAUUUGGAAGUGAAACUGGCAACCUGUUAAGUAAAGGGGUAGAACCGGUUUGAUUGAGACCAAAAAGUCUGACAUUAAAUUAUGUCAAAAUCAAUGUUAGUUUCUUAAUUUGUCUCUCAAAUAUAGCUAUUUCGCUAAUAAGCCCUAGAAUUAAUGUUCUUUCAAAAAAAAAAAAAAUUAAUGUUCUUUCACAAUCGAAUUAAGACGCAGAGGAUCAUUUGAAUUGUUGUUGGCACCUAAUAUAAUAACAUCAUCAUUACACAAUCACGUAUUGUUUUGGUUCUCACAUAAUACAAAAUAUUUUAUAGUACAUAAUAAUGUUUAUAUUUUUACAAUAAAGCCUACAUUACGAUGUGGUAUUUUAUUUUGAACAGCGUGAUAUAUUUAUACAUGCAAAUCGCAUAAUAUAAGUUUCAUUUCGUAUGAUAUAUAUAGUAGUAAUGUUUAAUAAUUUAGUUUUGACAGACAACUUG